AGCGAACGCUGGCGGCAGGCCUAACACAUGCAAGUCGAGCGCCCCGCAAGGGGAGCGGCAGACGGGAGAGUAACACGUGGGAACGUACCCUUCAGUUCGGAACAACCAAGGGAAACUUUGGCUAAUACCGAAUACGUCCGUAAGGAGAAAGAUUUAUCGCUGAAGGAUCGGCCCGCGUCUGAUUAGCUAGUUGGUGGGGU
rnacentral:rRNA from 1 species